rnacentral:antisense_RNA from 1 species
CUUGAGCGAGCCCAGCCACAGCGGGCGAUCCGCCGAUCGCGAGCGACCGUAGGCGGCGAGCAACGCGUUCACCUC